rnacentral:lncRNA from 1 species
UAUGGAUCAAGACUCUAGUAAUCCUAAUGGUUCAGACAAGAGGACCAGAAGUUCAAAGUCAUCUUCUGCUGCAUAAAUCUGAGGCAAGCUUAGGCUCCAUGAGACCUUGCCUGAAAACCCCAAAGAGACCUUUUUAACCUAGGUUCUUUGGGCGUAUAUGGUGGAGGUGGCCACAACCAAGAGAAAACGAUAUAUAGAGAACGGUGUUUGCUUUGUUCUGGCAAAACAGAUUCAGACAAAGGCCAGAAGAUAAUGGUGGCUCCUGAACAGAGGUCCCCUGGUUCAAACUUCCAUCUACUGGAACAAGGUUAGUGAUCCUCCAGGGACUCUCAACUCCCUGUCUACACACUCUCUACAGCAAAACAUCUUGUGCUUGGGAAUUUCUGAGCUGCACCCUAGCUCCUGUGGCUUCUGCUCAGUCUUUGUUCCUUAUUUGCAAGAACCAGAGGCAAAUAGCAAGCCUCGUGCAUCUUUGUAUAGAUAGAAAACAACCCUCCCAAUCCCCCAUCUUACAGUAUUUGUGUUUGGCU